rnacentral:lncRNA from 1 species
CCUGUCCUAGUCACAGAAAUACUGAGUUUUUCUGCAAAAGCAAAGCCAAGUUGUGGGUGGCAAGGAGGAAGAUGCAAUGCUAGCAGUGGUUUCUUUUGAUCCAUCUCUGCUUCUUGGAUAAAAAUCUCUGAUAUUACGUUCUUGAACUCAGUUGUUCCAGUGGUAGCCUCCUAAAUCUGCACCUUGUUGAUUGUGUCACUAUGGAAACUGGCAAUACAGUUCAGCAAUGUUUUUUGGGAGUAAGCCCUGAAGGCACAGCCAAAAGUCUGAUUUUCCAGCUCUUCCUACAAUGCUACAGAGUCUCACUCCGUGGCCCAGGCUGGAGUGCAAUGAUGCAGUCUCGGCUUGGCUCGCUGCAACCUCCGCCUCCCAGGUUCAUGUGAUUCUCCUGCCUCAGCCUCAGCUGGAAUUACAGGUGCCCGUCACCACACCCAGCUAAUUUUUGUAUUUUUAGUAGAGACGGGUUUUCACCAUGUUGGCCAGGCUCGUCUCAAACUCCUGACCUCAAGUGAUCUGUGUGCCUUGGCCUCUGAAAGUGCUGGAAUUACAGGUGUGAGCCACUGCACCCAGCCUUAAGUAAGUUUUAAUGUAAAAUUUUUCUAUAUUCAAAAUUUCCAAAUAAUAACUUUAUUUCCUCAUUUACAUUUAAGCCCUAUUAUUGCUGCAUUACUAAUUAUGGUCAGAAUUACCUGUUUGAAUAAUGAUAACAACCACCACCACAUGCUAGUUGUGAUGAUUAAUUUUAGGUAUUGACCUGACUGAAUUAAUGAAUAUAUAGCGAAGUGAUAAAGCAUAAUUUUGGGGUGUGUCUGUAAGGGUGUUUCUAGAGGCAAUUGGAGCGUGAGUCUCAGUGGACUAAGUGGGGAAGAUUCACCCUCAAUGUGGGUGGGCAUCAUCCAAUCAGCUGGAGGCCCAGAUAGAACAAAACAGAGGAAAAGUGAAUUGGUCUCUCUGUCCUGAAGUCGGGAUACACUCUUCUGCCCCUGGACAUGAGAAUGCCAGGCUCUCCAGCCUUUGGAUACCAGGACUCACACCAGCUCCCCUCUGGGUUCUCAGGCCUACAUACUUGGAAUGAGCCACGCUACUGGCACCCCAGGGUCUCUAGCUUGCAGAUGGCCUGUUGUGGGACUUCUCAGCCUUCAUAAUUGCAUAAGCCAAUUCUAAUAAAUCCCCUCUCCUGUAUCUGUAUCUAUAUUUUAUUGGUUUGGUCUCUCUGGAGAACCCUAACUAAUACAGUAGCAUAGGAUAUAGUCCUAGGUGUCCAUCUAGGAGACUGAGUAAUUUUGUAUCACCCAGCAUAGUGCUUUUUAGCAUACUUUAAAGAAUUAUGGAAUAAAUUAACAGACCUCUCGCUGGUUACAGAUGGUAAAAGACCAACUAAUUUUUCAUUCUAGUCAGCAGAUGGCAGUGUUUUACUUUAUUUAGCUAACUGAGGUUUGUUUCCUGAGUCUUGCAACACUCACUUUUAACUUAAUCCAUGAAAUAACACAGUAUUUUUGAGUUAACUUUAUACUUUUUGAACCAUAAAUAAAUGUUAUAGGAGUUGUUUUAGGUUUUUAAAAAUCGCACAUUUUUUAGUCAACUUGAGCUUUCUUAAGCUAUCUU